CCCUUAGAUGUCCUGGGCUGCACGCGCGCUACACUGAUGUGUCCAGUAAGCACCUAAACUCUUCCGAAAGGAACGGGUAACCUUUGCAAAGCACAUCGUGAUGGGGAUAGAUUAUUGCAAUUAUUAGUCUUGAACGAGGAAUUCCUAGUAAGCACAAGUCAUCAGCUUGUGUUGAUUACGUCCCUGCCCUUUGUACACACCGCCCGUCGCUCCUACCGAUUGAAUGUUCCGGUGAGCUCUUCGGACUGCGCGGUCUGCAGUUUCUGCGUUCCGUGCGGAAAGUUGCGCAAACCUUAACAUUUAGAGGAAGGAGAAGUCGUAACA
rnacentral:rRNA from 1 species